GUUGUAUAGUCAAGUAAUUAAGUGCAUGUGGUGGAUGCCUUGGCAGUCAGAGGCGAUGAAAGACGUGAUAGCCUGCGAAAAGCUCCGGGGAGGCGGCAAAUAUCCUUUGAUCCGGAGAUGUCUGAAUGGGGGAACCCACCUACUUUAAGGUAGGUAUUGCAACAUGAAUACAUAGUGUUGCAAGGCGAACGAGGGGAAGUGAAACAUCUCAGUACCCUUAGGAAAAGAAAUCAAUUGAGAUUCCCUCAGUAGCGGCGAGCGAACGGGGAUCAGCCCAUUAAGUUAUGUGUGUUUUAGUGGAACGCUCUGGGAAGUGCGAACGUAGAGGGUGAUAUUCCCGUACACGAAAGGGCACACAUAAUGAUGACGAGUAGGGCGAGGCACGUGAAACCUUGUCUGAAUAUGGGGGGACCAUCCUCCAAGGCUAAAUACUCCUGACUGACCGAUAGUGAACCAGUACCGUGAGGGAAAGGCGAAAAGAACCCCUGUGAGGGGAGUGAAAUAGAUCCUGAAACCGCAUGCAUACAAGCAGUGGGAGCACCUUCGUGGUGUGACUGCGUACCUUUUGUAUAAUGGGUCAGCGACUUAUAUUCAGUAGCAAGGUUAACCGUAUAGGGGAGCCGUAGAGAAAUCGAGUCUUAAUAGGGCGUUUAGUUGCUGGGUAUAGACCCGAAACCAGGCGAUCUAUCCAUGAGCAGGUUGAAGGUUGGGUAACACUAACUGGAGGACCGAACCCACUGUCGUUGAAAAGCCAGGGGAUGACUUGUGGAUAGGGGUGAAAGGCUAAUCAAGCCUGGUGAUAGCUGGUUCUCCCCGAAAGCUAUUUAGGUAGCGCCUCGGACGAAUACCAUAGGGGGUAGAGCACUGUUUCGGCUAGGGGGUCAUCCCGACUUACCAAACCGAUGCAAACUCCGAAUACCUAUGAGUACUAUCCGGGAGACAGACUGCGGGUGCUAACGUCCGUAGUCAAGAGGAAAACAAUCCAGACCGCCAGCUAAGGCCCCAAAAUCAUAGUUAAGUGGGAAACGAUGUGGGAAGGCAUAGACAGCUAGGAGGUUGGCUUAGAAGCAGCCACCCUUUAAAGAAAGCGUAAUAGCUCACUAGUCGAGUCGGCCUGCGCGGAAGAUGUAACGGGGCUAAAACUAUGUGCCGAAGCUGCGGAUNNNNNNNNNNNNUUGACAUUAGUCAAGUGGUAGGGGAGCGUUCUGUAAGCCGAUGAAGGUGUAUUGAGAAGUAUGCUGGAGGUAUCAGAAGUGCGAAUGCUGACGUGAGUAACGACAAAACGGGUGAAAAACCCGUUCGCCGAAAGACCAAGGGUUCCAGUCCAACGUUAA
rnacentral:rRNA from 1 species